UACGGGAGGCAGCAGUGGGGAAUAUUGCACAAUGGGCGCAAGCCUGAUGCAGCCAUGCCGCGUGUAUGAAGAAGGCCUUCGGGUUGUAAAGUACUUUCAGUCGUGAGGAAGGUGUUAAGGUUAAUAACCUUAGCAAUUGACGUUAGCGACAGAAGAAGCACCGGCUAACUCCGUGCCAGCAGCCGCGGUAAUACGGAGGGUGCGAGCGUUAAUCGGAAUUACUGGGCGUAAAGGGCACGCAGGCGGUUAAUUAAGUUGGAUGUGAAAUCCCCGGGCUUAACCUGGGAAUGGCAUUCAAGACUGGUUAGCUAGAGUCUUGUAGAGGGGGUAGAAUUCCAUGUGUAGCGGUGAAAUGCGUAGAGAUGUGGAGGAAUACCGGUGGCGAAGGCGGCCCCUGGACAAAGACUGACGCUCAGUGUGCGAAAGCGUGGGGAGCAAAAC
rnacentral:rRNA from 1 species